rnacentral:misc_RNA from 1 species
AACAAGAGGGGGUGGAAUAUAUCAAGAACAUAUGAACGAAGCUCUUGAUCGUUUGACUGAAGGAGCCUGGCUGCAUACAUUUCCAGAAGGGAAGGUCUGUCAAGAAGAUGCUCCUAUAAGACGAUUGAAGUGGGGAACUGCCAGUCUCAUUGCUCGUGCCCCCGUGACUCCAAUUGUCUUGCCAAUUAUCCAUCAUGGUUUUGAAAAGGUUAUGCCUGAGAACUAUGCUUUUGGGAGAAGACCUCCAGUCCCUUUAUGGAACCAGGAGAUAAAAAUAGUUGUUGGUGAGCCAAUGGAA